rnacentral:ncRNA from 2 species
CUCUUAUCAAGAGCAGGUGGAGGGACUAGCCCGAUGAUACCCGGCAACCGACAGACCUUUGCGUAAACAACACGUUGAUGUUUUUUCAGCAUGGCAAAGGAAUGCACGGUGCUAAUUCUUGCGGAAGCCAGGCGGCUUCUGACAGAUGAGAG